GGUCUCUUGGCUUAAGAGGCUAGCUGCAGUAGGCAAGCAAGACCAACAACUGGGAUACUGGUGAAGUUGUUGAGGCCAUGGCAAAACUCACCUAUGAUGAUCCUGGUACAGAAGCUCGCUGAAAGAAUAUUAAGAAGAACACUUCAACACUUCGAAUGGUUAGACUGAUUAUAGCAGCAUGCAAAAGAAUAAUCAGGUCAUUAAAGGUCUAUCUGAUGUCGUGAUGAGAAUCUUAGGAGAUGUCUGUCUGUUCAAGAAGGAAGCAAAUUCAUCUGUAGCUUCAUCAUAAGCAACAUCUUCAUCAUUGGGGUCUACCAUUUUUUAUCUUGUACAUGUUGAUUGUCAGUGGUCUAGGGAACAGGCUUUGGUGGAGCCUUUUCACCAAGCAUAUUUAUCAUCUUUAAUGUUUACAUUUCUUUUCCAUGCUUUAAGAGAGUGGAAGGCAUUUGCUAAUUUCCACAAGUGAGUCUGAGUUAAAUUGCCAAAUUGCAGGAAAGGAUUUGACGUUCAUCUCCACGCCAUUGAAUAGAUUCAUUAACAGAGGAACUAAUUUCUACAGUUCCACUCAAACCAUACUGCUGCCAUCUUAACUUUGAGUGAGAAUGUUUU